UGGGGAAUUUUCCGCAAUGGGCGAAAGCCUGACGGAGCAACGCCGCGUGGGGGAGGAAGGCCCUUGGGUUGUAAACCCCUUUUCUCAGGGAAGAAGUUCUGACGGUACCUGAGGAAUCAGCCUCGGCUAACUCCGUGCCAGCAGCCGCGGUAAGACGGAGGAGGCAAGCGUUAUCCGGAAUUACUGGGCGUAAAGCGUCCGUAGGUGGCUGAGCAAGUCUGUGGUCAAAGCUCGGGGCCCAACCCUGAA
rnacentral:rRNA from 1 species